rnacentral:lncRNA from 1 species
CAUAAUUGAUUAGGGUUACAACCCAAAUGAUCAACAAUUACUCAUCUUAUGUUUGUAGAUGAUUGCAUCCUUUUUAGUGAGGUAUCUAACAGGGGGAUAAAUACACUUAAAGAAAUUCUUCAAGAAUACGAGGCUUGUUCUAGGUAGUGCGUCAAUUUUGAAAAAUCCACUGUUUUGUUUCAGCACAAAUAUGACUGAUCAGGGGAAAAACUUGGCCUUUCAAGGUCUAAAUGUGAGGUGUUCGAGAGAUAUGGAGAAAUAUUUGGGAUUUCCAAAUAGGAUUGGAAAAAGAAAUGGGCUUUGCAAAACCUGAAAGAUAGGUUGAAACAGAAGAUUAACAACUAGAGCAUAAGGUUUAUUUUUCAAGGCGGUAGAGAGGUUUUUAUAAAAGCUAUUUUGCAAGCAAUUCCCACCUAUUCGAUGGCAUGUUUUCUUUUUCCAAAAUCCAUUUGUUCGGAACUUGAAAACAUAAUGAGCUCCUUUUGGUGGCAAAAAGGUCAUGGUAAGAGAGGUUUGCAUUGGUGCAAUUGGAAGGCUCUAAGUGAGCUAAAAAAGGAGGGUGGUAUGGGUUUUCGUAGUCUUAGUCUUUUUAAUAUUGCAUUAUUGGCCAAACAGGGUUGGCAUUUAUUACGUAAUCCUAAUUCUUUACUAGCGCGCAUUUUGAAGGCUAAAUAUUAGAAAGACUCCGAUUUUUUAAACUCUAGGUUGGGUAAUUUACCUUUCUUUACCUGGCAAAGAAUAUGGGCUGCAAAGGGUCUCCUUUUAAAAGGUUUGGGAUGGCGGAUUGGAGACGGCCAGCAAGUGUCCAUUUGGGGAGAUGCUUGGGUCCCUGGAUUGGAGAAAGUUAGACUUUAGAAUAAAAAUCCCAAUUCGGGGUUGAUAAAGGUUACAGAUUUGAUUGAUUCUUAUACAAGGAAAUGGAAUGUGGACCUAAUUUAUAGUACCUUUACGGAGAGGGAGGCUGAGAGAAUCUUAUGUAUUCCGUUGGCCUUGAGCUCGGAUGAAGACCUCACUAGUUGGAGAGGAGAGCUGACUGGUGAAUACUCGGUCCAUAGUGGUUACUAGUUUCUUUUACACGAUGGCCAUAAUCAAAUACAGAAUAGUUACAAAAUAUUUUACAAGCGACUUUGGAAUUUAGAGCUGCCAUCUAAAAUCAAAAUUACAAUUUGGAGAAGCUCUCAUAACUAUCUUCCUAACAAUAGUAAUCUUCACUAUAGGCGGUUGAUGGGUUAUGCCAUUUGCCAAAAGUGUCAAGCGUGAGCAGAAACGAGGCAACACUUAUUCAGAGACUGCCCUACUGCAAAAGAAACGUGGGAGAAGUUAAACUUUUGUUGGCCUAGUUCAAGGGGUAACACUGAUUUUCUAGAAGUUCUAAUGCAUAUUUUUUAUUCUCACUCUAUUUCUAAGUGCAAAUUGUUUACAUGUGCAAUAUAGGCGAUUUGGACUUCCAGGAACAAGUUUAUACAUGAGGGGGAAAUGAAAUCGAGAACCCAAGUGGGAGAAUUUGUUCUAAACUACUUGAAAGAAUUAGAAGGGUUAAACUUGUUGGUAUCUGAGAGAAGGAUCCCUACGGUCAGAUGGGUAGCUCCGAUUGGAUCGAGAGUCAAAAUUAACUUUGAUGCCACUUUCAAUAGACAUAAGAGAGAAUCAUUCUUUGGGUUAGUAGUCAGAAAUGAAAAAGCAGAAGUGAUUUGCUCAAGUGCUAUUUUAAAUGUGAAUAUACCAUCAGUGUUUGCGGCUGAGGUGAGGGCGUGCCUUCAGGCUCUUGAUCUGGGUUUACAACUCAGACUGAGAGAGGUGGAAGUGGAGGGAGACUCUUGAAUGGGGAUCCACAAACUACAAGAAGAAAAAGAGGAUAGAUCUAAAAUUGCAGCUUUUAUAAAAGAUUUAAAGCAACAGAGUUUAAAUUUCAAUUUCUGUGUUUUUCGUUUCAUAAACAGGGAUUCUAACAGAGUUGCUCAUGCAAUUGCGACUGGAGGAAUUAAAAUUGGAGUUUAUACUUAUCGUUGAAUAAGGCGCCUUCUGGGGCUUAGGUUGUGGCGGAUAAGGAACAGAGAUGGAUGAAGCACAUAAGGGAGAUGGGGGGACGGUCUGUUGAAGUAGAAAUGGAAGAUGUUUUUGAAGAAAGCUAAUGGUUGGUUUCUUCAAGGAAGGAGAUUGGUUUUGGGAGUAGGUGUUUUCAGUCUGCAGAUGAGAGAUGGAAGUGAUGGAUGAUAAUUAUGAAUUUUCGUUUUCCCAGGCGAUCGCGUUAUUUUCAAGUGGGGGUAGCUAUUGGUUUCUAGCUGGGACGCUUGGUCAUAGAGUUCCCUACCUAUUCGUUUGCUGGGUCUUUGUUACUAUGGGCUGUUUAUCUUGGGCCGUUUCAUUUUUUUUCUAGUUUUGUUUGCUUUCUUGUUUCCUGGAUGUCUUUGUUUUGUUUGAAUUUUGUUUGGGCCUGAAGAGAAUAAAGAUCCAG